rnacentral:antisense_RNA from 1 species
CGUGGGAGGAGGCCAACUCUCGGGGCGCUCCCUAGCCCUGGGUGGGUGGAGCGGGGGAAGCGGAGUACGUUGGACCCGGCUCCGCCCUACCCCACGGGGCCGCCUGGAGAGGUGCUGGGAGCUGGGUGGAGCUUAGAGGAAUUAAACUUUGGCCCUGCGCCUCGUCCAGCCUAGGUUCCACCCUUUUCUGGGAAAGGUCUUACUCUGUGACCCACGCUGGAGUGCAAUGGCACCAUCACAACUUACUGAAGCCUCCACUUCCCGGGCUCAAGUGAUUCUUACACCUCAGCCUCCUGAGUAGCUGAGACCACAGUUCACACCCCGCCACUCCUGAGCACCGCACACCGGCUUCCUCCCAGUCCCUCAUCUGAGAACUCAUGAAGCCACUUGGAAUCCCUCUCUGCUUUGCCUGGCUCAUUCCAUGUCAAUUUCAGAUCUUCGCUUCAGGUCAGCUCCAAGGAGGCUAUCCUUGCCCAUCUUCCUAAAAUAGAGCUCUCAAAACCUGGCUGUUUUCCUUCAGAGCACUGGCCUCCAAUUGCACCGGUAGAUGGCAAAUAACAUGCUUUCUUUCUGUUCCCGGGCUGCGUUCGGACCCCU